rnacentral:rRNA from 1 species
UACGGAGGGUGCAAGCGUUGUCCGGAAUCACUGGGCGUAAAGGCGCGUAGGCGGCCUGGUAAGUAGGGGGUGAAAUCCUGCGGCUUAACCGCAGGGCUGCCUUCUAAACUGUCAGGCUUGAGCACGGUAGAGGCAGAUGGAAUUCCCGGUGUAGCGGUGGAAUGUCGUAGAGAUCGGGAAGAACAUCAGUGGCGAAGGCGGUCUGCUGGGCCGUUGCUGACGCUGAGGCGCGACAGCGUGGGGAGCAAACAGG